rnacentral:lncRNA from 1 species
CCGGCGACCUCGGCAUCUCCAUCGAUGAUGGUAAGCCCCUCCUCUGUUCCCUCUGAUGGUAAACUCUGAAUUUGCUUGCUUGCUUUCUUUCUGCAGUAGGCCAAGAAACAAGGAGUGCAUACUUAAUUCAGUUAGUUUUGCAGUAGUUUGGUUGCAGUAGCAGUACUUCAUUCAAGUGAAAAGAUUCAGUUAGUUGUAUCUCUGCAUACUUAAUUCAGUUUGGUUGCAGUAGUUUCUCUCUGAUGGUAGUACUUGUAUCUCUGCAUACUUAAUUAACUGAAUUUGGUUGCAGUAGUUGAUUCAAGUGAAAAGAUUUAGUUAGUUUUGCAGUAGUUUUGCUGGAGUAAUAAGGAAAAGUUGCAGUAGUUUGUCAAUGUUAACCUCGACGUAUCUGCAGUUUCAGUCACUGCUUGCUACUCCUCCUUAUUACUCCUCGGCGCUGGAGUAUUUCGACGUGUCUGGAGUGUUUUGAGUAGCUAAAUAAGUGCAGUUCAUUUGCUUCAGUCGCUGCUUAUUUCUUCAGUAGCUAAAUAAGUUCAGUUUAGUUUAGUUGAAGUGAGCUGCGUUCUCGUUGCCGCCUUGCAUAUUUCAGAGAUCGAGAGUGUAGAUCAAAACAUAGUUGAGCAGUACACAAAUCAAAAUCUACUGGUAAACUCCAUUUCUAAAUCAAGCAUGGCAAGUUUUGUACUCAUGGAGUACUUCUGGUGAAAUCAAAUUCAAAGAACUGUUGGUAAAACUACUGGUAAAAUCAAAUUCAAAAAACUACUGAUGUAAAUAAAAUACAAAGAACUACUGGUAAAAUCAAAAUCAAGAGUUUAACAUGGCAAGUUUUCUCUUCUCUUGUGUAAAUCAAAAUCAAAAGUAAUCUUGCAUUUUCUCUUCUCUUCUUGCUCUCUUCUCUUAUCUUGUCUUCUGAACCUUUCCUUUAAUUAUUAAAUGAAACAUUUCCUUUAAUUAAUUAAAAUGAAACAUUUCCUUUAAUUAAUUAAAUGAAACCUUUCCUUUAGUUAAUUAAAAUGAAACCUAGGAGAACUUAGUCCAUAAAAUUACUCCUAAUUUACUAUCAAAUUACUCCUAGUGUUGACACUGUUGACUCCCUAGUGUUGACACUGACAACAACCAGUCAGGAUGACACUGUGACAACAACAGUUUGGAGUACGCCCAUUUGGUUUAAUUGAAAUGCACAAAAAUUAUGAUGUGAAAGAAGAAGAAGUCAGUUUAUUGAGCACAUUUAGUUAAUGGCUGCUGUCAAAAUUUUUAUGCUCCAUUUAGUGAGCACAUCUGUUAACACUACUCUUGCUUGUUAACUGAAUUACUCCAUUUGUUAACAUCUGUAUUUACAGUAGCAGUUACUGUCGUGGUUCUAAGCCUGACAGUAGAAUAGGGGGUAGGUAUGGAGAGGCAAGAUCCUAGCUAUGGAGUAGUUGUAUACGCAAGAGAUUUACGAGUUCAGGCCCUUCUCGGAGGAAGUAACAGCCCUACGUCUCGGAGCCCGGAGGCGGUCGACUGGAUUAUAUGCGUAUGAGUUACAGGGGUGCGAACCCUUUACACUGAGGAGGGGGUGGCUUAUAUAGAGUCUGCCAGACCCCUCCGGCCCUCAGUUAUGCAGGGUUUAAAGUACAUUAAGGCCUGGCGUUACUGGUAACGCCCUACAUAGAGUGCUAUCAUGGCCAUAAAGACUACUUAAUGACAGACCCUUUUGUGUGCAGAGUGACUCUAGAUCUCCUAGUGGUCGAGUGAGUGGCUUCAUGGUCGAGUGUCUUCGAGUCCAUCGAGUAGAAUCCUUCCAGGUCGACUGAAAGAUAGUUUCUUCUAGAGAUGUCCUUGGGGAGGGUACCUUGGACAGGUCCAUGACCCUACCCUAGGUGUAUGGCUUCAUCAUUAGCCCUCGAAUGGAUCGAGGUUUGAGUGAGGAAGGAGUUGAGAAUUCUCCCGACCCCUUUUUCGUGCUAUGAGUGUGUCUUGUUCUGGAUCAAUGACUUUAAGUGACGACAUCAACUUCUUUUUCAGUCGCCUUGAUCCAUUCUUUGUAUCUGUCGAGUGACUUCUCUGUGCUUGGAGAUUUCCGAGCGAUGGAUCGGAGGAAAUCUCCGGUCUGACAAGUUGCUCUGCUAUUCGCGGAUUUAGCGGGAUCCGAAUUUCGGGAAGCGCGCGAGGUGGAGGAAGCCGCGGUACUCGGAUGGGAUAAGGUAGGAAUGCCUCGAUCUUCGCGCCACCUUUUUCGCCACGUAUCGCGCGCGCGACUGUUGCGGGAUUUGACAGGAUCGCCCGGGCCUACCAGUCAGCCACUCGGAAGCGACUUCAUAUAAGGCGCCGGACAGGGUUUUUUGAACAGUGCGCCCUCAUUUUCCCCUUCCUCUUCCUCAGAUUCACCUGCUGCGUUCGCCACCAUCUCAGCGCUACUGCUCUGUGCCUGCUUCAUCGGUGAUGAUGGUGAAGGAGAAGACGGCGGCUUUGGAGCGGGCGAAGAAGGCGACGGCGAAGGCGAAGGGGAGGGCGACCAGUCGGGGCGGAUCCUCGUCGCGGGCCGGUCUGCCGCAAGGCUGGAUCCAGGGAGACUAGAUCCGCUCGACCAUUCGCCAAAAAGAUCUCGAUGAUCUGGCCAAUGAGGGACUGAUCCCUCAUGGAUCAGCGAGGCUCCCGGUGAAGGAGUGGCCGCCGCAGCCUCAGGAGGGUGAGUGCGCCCUCUUAGCUACCCACGUUGACCGCGGGUUUUCUCUGCCGCCUAGUCCUUUCUUUCGGGGAUUUCUGAACUUCUUUGGGGCACAACUCCACCACUUCACACCCAACUCUAUCGUCUAUCUCGCUGCUUUUGUCUCCUUCUGUGAGAACUUCUUGGGUUGUCGGCCGCAUUGGGGCCUUUUCAAACACAUUUUCACCUGUCGCUCCCAGACGGUGAAAAAGUCUAAUCCGAGUGACGAGAAAACCCAAGUAAUUCAGAUGUGUGGGGGUCUUGGGGUUCAAAUCAGGAGUAAAAGUGCUUUUCUAGCCAUGGUCCUUCCUGAGUCGGUCCGAGGGUGGCAGUCGACCUGGUUCUACUGCCAAGACCAGUCGAUGCCAGGGCAGUCGACUGGACUCCCUCCUUUCUCCAUGCAUCGAGUGAGCAAGCCGUCCUCUCUAAAGGUGGUCCCAGAGGAAAAGGCUCAGGUCAAGGUGUUGGUCGAGCAUGUAGUCCAGCUCAUCUGUGACGGGGUGACUGGCAUGGAUCUUCUGGAGGUUUUUCUUCGACGAUGCAUCUAGCCACUUCAAUAUCGAGGCCAUCCGAUGUGGAUGUACUCUGGCACUGAAGGCACCACUCGGGUCCACCUGGAGGAGGUCGAUGAUGCCACACUGGAGAGGUGGAUGACUGCCAUCACAGGGAACAAGGACAACCCCCGAGGAGCCAGGAGGAUCCCUCCACUCAACCAUUCAUACGAGCCAGACAAGGUCUAAUUAUGAAUCUCCGACUGUGACCUUGAUUCCUUCAUUCCGUUUUGCUAGAAUUCAGUCGAUUGAUUUUUGUCUUAUACCGAGAUGUACUCGAUGCCCAACGGGGCGCAAGAACAGACCAAGGAGGAGGAAGGGAGCGGGGGUGAAAGUCAGGAGGUGUGGGAAUCCGAUGGCGAGGAGGAUGAAGAAGAUGCCGGCUCUGGUGAGGAAGAGGAGGAGGAAGAGGAGGAGGAAGUCGAGCCUCCCCGUACUGAAAGACGAUCCAAGCUCACCCAUGACCCCGCAGUCGAGCGUGGUAAGGCGGCCGUGCCUGUUGGGCAGUUGACUACACGUCCUCGCACGACCUCUCCGGCGCCGACUGAGAAAGCGUCGAAGCAACCCCGAGCAGCAUCAUCAAAACUGACGAAGGCCCUGCCGAAGAUGAGGAUGGUGAUUCCCACUAUUUCCGGGUAAUGGCAGAACUUGUGUUUCUUGUUUAACAUGGAUACACUCUUGGUCGACACGUUGGCUGACCGAUUGAUCUUUGAAAUCGUAGUGCUGCUACUUCUGAGACCUCAGUCAGGCAUGAAGAUCAAGAAAUGGAGGAUGCUGCCACUUCCAACCCUCGUAUGAUCUCUGUAGUUUCGCUUUCGGUCGAUUGGAUCUUCAUUUUUAACUUUAAAUCUUUCCUGUAGCUCCACCUAAUAUCAUUGAUCUCCCUUAUUAUGACGAUGAGGAGCCCCUGAGGCAAAGGAGGAACAAGAAAACGUCUGCUGGCAAGACUGCUCAGGUUGUAUCACCACCCGAGACGCUGGUUCCGGAGGGGGGCAACGUCACUCGGACUACCGUGUCCUUUGUUGUGCCGCUGACGAGUGCUCGCCCUUCGUCGUCGAGUGCUGAUCCGCCUUCCCUUUUCUCCACCCACCACGUCCCAGAGGACCAAGCAGGCGCUGCUAAGGAAGCUAUACGCCAGGCGGGGUCAUGAUGGAGCAGGUGAAGGCGAUCCGAGACGCCAGCCAAGCAGCUUAUGAUGCAAGCUCUGCCCUUCAGAGCAAUGUCCAGGUUAGUUGAUCACCACUUGUUCUGUUAGGAUAUGGUACCUGAAAACUUUUCUUUCUGAAGAUCUUAGUAUCUGUACACCCACUGGGUGUGUCGAUUGAAUAUUUGGAUUGGUGGGGGCACACUGAGUGCACCCACUGGGUGUAGUCCCUGAGACUAUGAUGGACUGCUGGCAGCCGACUAUAGUCUUUAUAGUUUGAACUUUUUCACUUUACUUUCUCCACUCGGUCUGGUCGAAUGGAAUCAUGGAACCAGUGGGGGCACGCUGAGUGCACCCACUGGGUGUAGUCCCCGAGACCAUGGUCGAUUGCUGGCAGUCGACUAUGGUCUGAAGAACUUUUUUUUUGAUGAAACUGUGGCUGACUGCUGGCAGUUAGCUAUGAUUUAGGAUCAUAACCUUUUUGUCUCUUUCGGUCGACUGAUCAAUCCGAGCCGGUAGAACCAGUGGGGGCACGUUGAGUGCACCCACUGGAUGUAGUCCCCGAGACUACAGUUGAAUAUUUUGAUUCGGCUGUAGUCUUAGAAAUGCUACGAUUUUUCUCUUAGUCACUCGGAAGUGACCUAUCUUUGAUGUCUGUCGACUGAUCUUUUGCAGAAAUCUUGCGAGCUUGUGGCUCGUUAUACUGAGUUGGAGAACAAGCAUAUCCAGCUCGAACUUGAUUUGAACCUUGUCCAGGAGAACUUCACGAAGGCGAAGGAGGAGGCAAAAGGUAUGUUUGGUGAGAACCUUGACGACUGCCCUUAUUUGUUGUCCAUUCCUGAGUCUGAUCUCACUGUCACUUUGCAGAUAAACUGAAGGAGGCUCGAAAGAAGAAGGACCUUGACCUCGUCGAGGCGCAGAAAGCGGCUUUGGACAAGACGAAGCUCGCAGAAGAAAAGCUGGCUUCAAUCAGCAAACUUGAAGAGGAGAAUACCAAUCUGAAAGCUGCUCUCAACACGGCCAACAAGGAGGUCAGUCGACUGAAGAAUGACAAACCCUAAACCCUGAGUGACAAGGCUAGCGAAUUGAUGGGGAAGAAGAACAAUCUGGAGUCUUAUCUGGAAGGGCUCGCCAAGAAGUUAUUCCUCAUGCUUGAAGGUAAUCUCUUCUAUCCGACUGACUUGUUAUCGUCGACUCGUCAUAGAACUGUUGGCUUAACUUCAAACUGUGCUUACAAAAUUCUGUCAAAACUUCAGGGAGGAGACCAGUCGACUGGAGCCAAACUUGGAUCCCGUUAACUCUCCUGUGAAGGACGAGGCUGCUAUGAACGUGUUCCGACUGGAAUCUCGUGUUGCUGGAGUGGUUGACUACCUCGCCCGACUGAAGGUUGCGGUGUCGCGGAUCGACACGACACUCUGGCCAAGAGAGACGCUUCACAAUGACCUCGAGUCUUUAAUGACUCGACUGAAUGACGUUCCAGGUCGAGUGCAGGAAUGGAAGAAGUCCUCCGCCAGGUGUGGUGCUGAAGUUGCUCUGUCCCUGGUACGUGUUCACCGCAAGGAUGCUUGAGAGGACAAGCUGGGGUCCAUCAGAGUGGCCAAUACCAAGAAGCAUGACUUCCAAUCUUUCAUGGAGACCUUCAUUGCAGCUGCCACUCGGAUUGCUGAUGGAAUCGACCUGGACCAAUUUGUCACGCCUUCCAGUCCUCCACCGGAGGAGUAAAAAACUUCUAUGCUUCACCUUAAAUUUGCCUCGGUAUGCCGAGUGGUUUUUGUAACCGAUAAACUUUUACGGGCUUGACGCCUGCGCACUUCUGAAUCAGUUAUCUGAACUUUGCUUAUCGUUGAAUAUGCUUGCAUUUGCCUUCGAGCGAAUUUUCUUCUUCACUCGGAAUAUAUUCUAAUGCUUGAGACGCAGCUCUAAGGUGGUAAGUCCAGUUGACCUGCACCUCGUCAUCCUUGUAGAGCGGAAUAGAUUAAGAACUUAGGCGAGCACUGGGCUGUACCUAAGCCUUCGAGUGGGAGGCUUUCUCUCCACUCAGUAGGGUUUUCAGAUACUUAGGCGAGCACUGGGCUGCAGCUAAGCCCCCGAGUGGGAGGUUUGCUCUCCACUCGGUAGGAUUUUCAAACACUUAGGCGAGCACUGGGCUGCAGCUAAGCCCCCGAGUGGGAGGUUUGCUCUCCACUCGGUAGGAUUUUCAAAAACUUAGGUGAGCACUGGGCUGUAGCUAAGCCCCCGAGUGGGAGGUUUGCUCUCCACUCGGUAGGAUUUUCAAACACUUAGGCAAGCACUGGGCUGCAGCUAAGCCCCCGAAUGGGAGGUUUGCUCUCCACUCGGUAGGAUUUUCAAAAACUUAGGCGAGCACUGGGCUGCAGCUAAGCCCCCGAGUGGGAGGUUUGCUCUCCACUCGGCAGGAUUUUCAAACACUUAGGUGAGCACUAGGCUGCAGCUAAGCCCCCGAGUGGGAGGUUUGCUCUCCACUCGGUAGGUUUUUUUGUGGCGUAGCUCCGAAGGAGAAGGUAACAGUCGACCUGCACCUUGUCCUCCUUGCGGAGCGCACAUUGUAUUUGUGGCGUAGCUCGGAAGGAGAAGGUAGCAGUCGACCUGCACCUCGUCCUUCUUGUGGAGCGCACAUUGUAUUUGUGGCGUAGCUCGGAAGGAGAAUGUAGCAGUCGACCUGCACCUCGUCCUUCUUGCGGAGCGCACAUUGUAUUUGUGGCGUAGCUCGGAAGGAGAAGGUAGCAGUCGACCUGCACCUCGUCCUCCUUGUGGAGUGCACAUUGUAUUUGUGGCGUAGCUCGGAAGGAGAAGGUAGCAGUCGACCUGCACCUUGUCCUCCUUGCGGAAUGCACAUUGUAUUUAGUACUUAGGUGAGCACGGGGCUGCAGCUAAGCCCCCGAUUGGGAGGUUUGCUCUCCACUCGGUAGGAUUUUCAGAUACUUAGGCGAGUACUUGGACUGCAGCUAAGCCUCCGAGUGGGAGGCUGGCUCACCACUCGGUAGGAUUUCAUACACUUAGGCGAGUACUUGGACUGCAGCUAAGCCUCCGAGUGGGAUGCUGGCUCACCACUUGGUAGGAUUUUCAGAUACUUAGGCGAGUACUUGGACUGCAGCUAAGCCUCCGAGCGGGAGGCUGGCUCACCACUCGGUAGGAUUUUAAAGUACUUAGGCGAAACGGAUUCGCAGCUAAGCCCCCGAGUGGGAGGCUGGCUCACCACUCGGCAAGGAUUUUUUUUUACAAACUUAGGCGAAACGGAUUCGUAGCUAAGCCACCCACUGGGGGAUUUCUCAUGUAAACAAAAGUAACAACAGUCACUGGGAAAAUUAUAACACUCUUGUCUUUGAUAAAUAAACUACAGAAGUACUUUUAUUACAUCUCAUCCGAGUGAAUACUUAAGUAUAAAAGGGGCGGAGCAGCUCCGCGUUCCAAGCUCGGGGCUCGUCAAUCUGGUGACCGACAUUGUAAAGGCGGUAUGCUCCAUUGUGGAGAACUUUGGUGACGAUGAAGGGACCUUCCCAAGUAGGAGCAAGCUUGUGUGGCUUCUACUGAUCCACUCGGAGAACCAGAUCUCCUUCUUGGAAGGCUCGGCUCUUCACGUUUCUGGCAUGGAAGCGACGUAAGUCCUGUUGAUAGAUGGUCGAUCGGAUCAUGGCCAUCUCUCUUUCUUCUUCUAGAAGGUUGACUGCGUCCUGUCGGGCUUGCUCUGCUUCAUCCUCAGUGUAGAGUUCGACUCGGGGUGCAUUGUGAAGCAGGUCACUCGGCAAGACUGCUUCAGCUCAAUAGACCAAGAAGAACGGAGUUCUCCUAGUCGACCGAUUAGGAGUGUUCCUUAAUCCCCAAAGUACUGACGGGAGUUCAUCGACCCAUGCACAUGUCGCGUGCUUGAGAUCGCGCAUCAGUCGGGGUUUCAGUCCUUUGAGAAUUAGACCAUUUGCUCGUUCGGCUUGUCCAUUCGACUGGGGGUGAGCGACUGAAGCAUAGUCGACCCGUGUGCCUUGAGAUGCGCAAAAGGCUCUGAAUUCUUCAGAAUCGAAGUUUGACCCAUUAUCAGUGAUGAUGCUAUGCGGAACUCCAUAUCUGAAUAUCAACUCUCUGAUGAAGCUGAUAGCAGUGCUAGCAUCCAGAUUCUUUAUAGGCUUAGCUUCAAUCCAUUUGGUAAACUUGUCGACUGCUACUAGCAAGUGAGUGAAGCUGCUCCUGCCAGUUCUCAAUGGUCCAACCAUAUCUAACCCCCAAACAGCGAAGGGCCAGACAAGUGGAAUGGUCUUCAAGGCCGAGGCGGGUUUGUGCGAUAGAUUGGAGUAAAACUGACAUCCUUCACACUUGUCGACUAUCUCCUUUGCCAUUUCAUUUGCUCUUGGCCAAUAAAAUCCCGCUCGGUAUGCUUUAGCCACAAUGGUCCGAGAGGACGCAUGAUGGCCACAGGUCCCCGAGUGGAUAUCGUCAAAGAUUAUCCGACCUUCUUCUGGCGUUAUACAUUUCUGACCGACUCCAGUCGCACUUUCUCUGAACAACUGUCCCUUUAUCACGGUAAAGGCUUUGGAUCGACGGACGAUCUGUCGAGCCUCUUCUUCAUUCUCUGGGAGCUCUUUCCUUAAGAUAUACGCGAUGUACGACUCUGUCCAGUCGGGAGUGAUGACCAAAGCUUCCAUGAUUAGGUCGACCACCGCUGGGACUUCAACUUCAGUCGGAUCUGUGACACUUUUUGGCUAUGGAGCUUCUUCGGUGAAAGGAUCCUCUUGAACUGAUGGAGUAUGGAUGUGUUUCAAAAACACAUUACUGGGAAUGGCUUCUCUCUUGGAACCUAUCUUCGCCAAAGCCGCUUGAUUUUUCAGUCGGGGUAUAUGAUGGAGCUCUAACCCUUCAAAUUUCUUCUCAAGCUUUCUCACUGCAUUGCAGUAACCAGUCAUAGCUGGGAUUCUGACGUCCCACUCCUUCAUCACCUGAUUGACCACCAAAUCUGAGUCGCCAUAAACCAUAAGGUGACGGACGCCGAGUGAAAUGGCCAUAUGCAACCCAUACAAAAGUGCUUUGUAUUCUGCUUCAUUGUUGGAGGAAUCAAAGUGGAUCUGGAGCACAUAUCUGAGCUUAUCUCCUCGAGGGGAAACCAACACUACCCCAGCACCGGAACCAUUCAGCAUCUUAGAACCAUCAAAGAACAUGGUCCAUUGCUCCAAGUGAACUUGAGUCGGUAGCUGCUGUUCAAUCCACUCGGCGAUGAAAUCUGCUACAGCUUGGGACUUGAUGGCUUUCUUUGCCUCAAACUCGAUAUCAAGGGGAAGGAGUUCAAUCGCCCAUUUUGCCACUCGACCAGUUGCAUCGCUGUUGUGUAGAAUCUCUGAUAAUGGGGCGUCGCUGACGACUGUAAUGGAAUGAUCAGAGAAAUAAUGAGCAACCUUCUUCGUGGUCAUAUAAAUCCCAUAUACAAGCUUCUGAUAAUGAGGGUAUCUUUGCUUCAGUGGGGUCAACACUUCGGAAAGAUAAUAUACUGGGCGCUGAACUUUGAAGGCUUUCCCUUCUUCUUCCCGCUCGACCGUAAGUACUGUACUGACGACUUAUCCUGUGGCUGCAAUGUAAAGCAGCAAAGGCUCUUUGCUGAUUGGAGCAGCAAGCACCGGCUGGGUGGAGAGCAGAGCUUUUAGCUCUACAAACACUGCAUCAGCUUCUGGAGUCCACUCGAACUUGUCUGACUUCUUCAUCAGUCGGUAAAGAGGCAAUGCCUUUUCACCGAGACGAGAGAUGAAUCGACUUAAAGCGGCCAAGCAUCCAGUAAGCUUCUGGACAUCGUGCACACGCACGGGGCGUUUCAUUCAGAGUAUAGUGCCAACUUUUUCUGGGUUGGCAUCGAUUCCUCGUUCGGAAACGAGAAAACCGAGUAACUUUCUGCCAGGAACUCCGAAUGUGCACUUUGAUGGAUUAAGCUUGAUAUCAUACCUCCUGAGAUUGGCAAAUGUUUCAGUGAGGUCAGUCAACAGGUCGGAACCCUUCCGUGAUUUGACCACAAUAUCAUCCAUGUAUGCUUCCAUAUUCCGACUGAUUUGAGUGAGUAAACACUUCUGAAUCAUCCUCAUGAACAUGGCUCCGGCAUUCUUGAGGCUGAAUGGCAUGGUGACAUAGCAGAAGCACCCGAAUGGAGUGAUGAAAGCUGUUUUGAUCUCGUCGGGUCCAUACAGACGGAUCUGAUGGUAACCGAAAUAGGCGUCUAAAAAAGACAGGCGCUCACAUCCCGCAGUCGAGUCGACUAUUUGGUCGAUGCGGGGGAGAGGAAAAUGAUCUUUCAGGAAGGCUCAAUUGAUAUGCUUGAAAUCAAUGCACAUGCGAAGUGACUUGUCCUUCUUGGGGACCAUGACAACAUUGGCGAGCCACUCGAAGUGGUAAAUCUCUCGGAUAAACUCUGCUGCCAGGAGCCGAGCCACCUCCUCGCCAAUGGCCUUUCUCUUCUGGAUGGCGGACCGUCGAAGAUGUUCUUUGACAAGUUUCACUUUUGAGUCGACUCGUAGACGAUGCUCAGCCAGCCCUCUGGGAACACUCGGCAUGUCAGUAGGCUUCCAUGCGAAGAUGUCCCAGUUCUCACGGAGGAACUGGAUGAGCGCUUCUUCCUAUUUAGAUUUGAGUGUUGUGGAGAUAUGAGUCGGAGCAGCACUGGGGUCGGUCGGGUGAAUGUGAACGGGCUUCGUCUCACCGAACGACUGGAACGCUGACUCCGUGGCAGGCUUCUUGGCACGCAAUAAAUCACUCGGAUCUGCAGUUUUCUGGUAUUCCUGCAGCUCCACCACUGUUAUCUGAGCAUCGGCGAUCUUUGAGCCCUUUUGAAAGCACUCUUCUGCCUUUUUCCGAUUGCCAAUAAUGGUGAUCACACCCUUGGGACCAGGCAUCUUCAAUUUGAGGUACAUGUAACAUGGUCAAGCCAUGAAUCGUGCAUAAGCUGGCCUGCCUAAAAUAGCGUGAUAAGCACUCUGGAAAUCCACAACUUCAAAUGUCAGCUUUUCUUUGCGGAAAUGCUUUGAAUCGCCGAAAACCACAUCAAGAGCAAUUUGGCCGAGUGACUCAGCCUUCUUCCCAGGAAUGACCCCGUGGAAACUCAUGUUGCUGGUACUGAGCCUGGACAUCGGAAUGCCCAUUCCCUUCAGCGUCUCCGCAUACAAUAUGUUCAGGCCACUGCCACCAUCCAUCAGAACCCUAGUCAGUCGAGUGCCUUCGACGACUGGGUCGACCACCAAAGCUUGCCUCCCAGGGGUGGCUAUGUGUGUCGGAUGAUCGGACUAGUCAAAUGUGAUGGCGGUCUGAGACCAUUUCAGAUAACUGGGUGUCGCCGGAGCAACCAUAUUCACCUCAUGGUUGAUAACUUUCAAUCGACUUUUGCUUUCAACAUCAGCAAAAAUCAUCAGGGUGGAAUUGACAUGGGGGUAUCCUCCAUCACUGUCCUCUUUGUCCUCAAUCUUGUCCGACUCCUUUUCCUUAUCUUUGGGCUGUUUUCCCUGAAAUUGCUGGAUCAAGAGCCGACACUGCCGAGUGGUAUGUUUCGGGUAAAUGAAGUUACCCUCCUCAUUUUUCUUCGUGUGGAUGUGGCACGUCAAAUCCAUCACGUCAUUUCCUUGUCCUUCACCUUCUUAGGGUUCCAAGAUCCUUUGGCUUCCCUUUAAAUUUGCCCUGAGUCACGGCCAAGGCUUCUCCAGGAGCAGCUGGCUUGGCUUUCCGCUUCUGCUUCCGACUGGAGUUUCCUCCCCUAGUUUCAUGAGCGGUUGGCUUGUACUUGCCACUCCGGAGUCGAUCCUCUUCUUCACCAUUGGCAUAUUUGGUGGCAAUCUCCAUCAUUCGACUCAGAGUCAUGUCUCCGGUCCGACCGAAUUUCAAACUUAGCUCCCUGUUCUUAACGCCUUCCUUGAAGGCACAGACUGCCUGGUGAUCAGAUACAUUCUCCAUCGUGUGAUGCAAUGUGAUCCACCUCUGGAUGUAAUCCCUCAGAGUCUCAUUCGACUUUUGCACAUAAACCUGCAGCUCUGUCAAUCCUGCUGGUCGCUUACAAGUUCCUUCAAAUGUUCUGACAAACACUCGGGCAAGAUCUUCCCAAGUGUAAAUGCUGCUAGGUGCCAACUGAUUCAGCCAUGCUCUGGCCGAGCCCUCCAACAUAAGAGGUAGGUGUUUCAUGGCCACCUCAUCAUUGCCGCCGCCAAUCUGAACAGCCACUCGGUAGUCCUCAAGCCAAGUAUCGGGCUUGGACUCACCAGUGAACUUACUAACUCCAGUCGCCAACCUGAAGUUGGGAGGAAUCACCGCGGCCCUGAUGGCUCUGCUAAAACACUCUGGUCCUGAGACAUGAACUCUGCUGCUGGUGGGCACAUCUCUGUCAUGGCCUUCUCGGUGAGCUCUGUUCCGGUCGACCAAACCUUGCAUGAUAAUGGAUCUCGCGUCAAAGCCUGGUUCUUUGGGGUCGACUGGAACCCUUCGCCCAACACUGUGCUGACGUCUGUCAUCUUGUUGUCGAGGAGCGUACGACCCACCCCUUGGGGGAGGAGUGGGCACUCGACGUUGAUCAUCGCGAUCAAAUCUGUCAUCAUACUGAUCACGCCGACCUCCACGUCCCUCACGCCUCGGGGGAGAUCUCGGGCUAUGGACCGACCGGACUGUAUUCGCAGUGACAAAUCUGAUGUGAAUCCGAUUUCGCGACUGCGAUACAACUGAAUUCUGAUCUCCUGCUGCCCUGAGCAAAUCUCUGAUCUACAUCAAGCCUCUGCCAGCCUCUGACUGGGAGGGCUGAAUCGACUAUACUAUACGGGCCAUAGCCGCUAGAUUCUGAAUCAGAGUUCGAUAUACAUGAUUCGGUGGCGGAAAGAGUUGACGUCGACUGGAGUCUGGAACUCGUUGCCGCGCGCGCUCAUCGAGUGCUCGCUAGAGGUUCUCCAGUCGAGUGCGUUCAGCCAAAUUGGCCAAACGCGCGUCCUCCAAGGCACGAGCCUCGGGGGUUUCUCCAACGAUUGGAGUAUGCAGCGCAUCCAUGUUCCGGCGGCGAAGAUCUUCUCUUUGCAGGGAAGUGAGUGGCUCGGGUUGAUACUCCUCGUGGUCCUGCGCUGGGUCGCCUCCGCCGUCCCCUUCGUUGGUGCGAGGGAAGCCGGAAGGACUGCGCGGUCCAUUGACCAUCAGGACCUCCGCCGCUGGAUCACUGCUGUCGCACUCGGAUGCAGUCUCUACGGAGCCAGUCGACAGAUCGAACAUGCCGUAGAGAGAUUCAUCGGGCUCGAUCACCACGACUUGGGGGUGGCCAACUGGCGGGCCACUCCGUGCCUCACCCACCACUGAAGUCUCAACCGACCGGAGUGCUUGCACUGGCAGGAGACAGGAAGGAAGGACGACGCAGGAGUCGACCGAUACAGGGUCGACGGUUGCCGCAGGAGGACGCCACGGACACACGCGCAAAAGUGCGUUGCCCCGCGGACUGGGAGUGCGUCGAUGUCGAGUGGAGCCUCCUGAAGCCAAGCGGAGUCGUCGGCGAUGAACGUGAGCGUGCCGAGACGGAUCUCGCGGCCCUCAACCAAAACUCCGCCAGAAACCAUGAUGAAGGUAAUCGGAACAAUUGCAACUUUUCCAAUAAGUCGCUAAGACACCUGCCCCAUGGUGGGCGCCAACUGUCGUGGUUCUAAGCCUGACAGUAGAAUAGAGGGUAGGUAUGGAGAGGCAAGAUCCUAGCUAUGGAGUAGUUGUAUACGCAAGAGAUUUACGAGUUUAGGCCCUUCUCGGAGGAAGUAACAGCCCUACGUCUCGCAGCCCGGAGGCGGUCGACUGGAUUAUAUGCGUAUGAGUUACAGGGGUGCGAACCCUUUACACUGAGGAGGGGGGUGGCUUAUAUAGAGUCUACCAGACCCCUCCGGCCCUCAGUUAUGCAGGGUUUAAAGUACAUUAAGGCAUGGCAUUACUGGUAACGCCCUACAUAGAGUGCUAUCAUGGCCAUAAAGACUACUUAAUAACAGACCGUUUGUGUGCAGAGUGACUCUAGAUCUCCUGGUGGUGGAGUGAGUGGCUUCAUGGUCGAGUGUCUUCGAGUCCGUCGAGUGGAAUCCUUCCAGGUCGACUGAAAGGUAGUUUCUUCUAGAGAUGUCCUUGGGGAGGGUACCUUGGACAGGUCCAUGACCCUAUCCUAAGUACAUGGCUUCAUCAGUUACUUUUGCACAGUAGCAUCAAUAUCAAGUGUAGCAAGUGCACUCCUGCUUGCUCUUCUCUGAACAAUCAUCUUUCCACCUGAAUGUGCUAUAUGAACACUUCCUUGUUAUUUGUAUACACCGUCGAGUCGAAUUGCCUAAUUUCUGAAUGUCUACAUGACCAUUCUUUGCUUCUGUCAAUGAAAAUCAGUGUUAGCAAUGUUCAGGUUGUUACUAAUGUGUUCUGAAAGUAAAAAUCCAUUUAGUGAGCGCAUUUGCUAGGAGUACAGUGUUACACAUGCCAAUGUUCAGUCUUAUCCUCUCCUCUUCUUAGAUAAUUUUAAUUAACUGGAAAUUAAACCUUUUCUUUUAGUUCAAUCUAAAUAAAACAUUCUUAGUUAACUAAACUCAAAUUAAACCUUUCUGUUAAUUAACCUUAAAUUAAACCUUUUUUGUUACUAAAUUAAACCUUUCGUGUUAAAAUUAAAUUAAACUUUCUAUUCCUCUCUCUUUUAUUCCACUCCUUUCCUCUCAUAUUCCUCUCCUAGUUCUUUCCUUUAAUAGCAACAACAACAACAAGUCCUUUUCUUUAAUUAAUUAAAACUAAAGGACUAUGGAUUAUGACACAUACUCUUCUCUAAUUCACUCCUCUCCUCUCCUACUACUCUCCUAUCAGAGAAUGAUCAUACAAAUGGAGUAGUAGAAAUAUACAAAUACAAAUGGAGUAUGGAGUAAAAAAAAUACAUGGAGUAAAAAUACUUGGAGUAAAAGUGCAAAAUUAAAUGGAGUUACACAUACAAGUGGAGUUAGACAUACUCCAACAUACUCCACACAAACAACAUACUCCAGCAUACUCAAAUAUGGAUUAUUACAGACAUGACAAGCAUCACUAGCAUCACAGCCUCAUCGCAAGCAACUAGCCUCGUCACUAGCAUCACAGCCUCAUCACUAGCAUCACAGCCUCAUCGCAAGCAUCACAAGCAUCAUCACUAGCAUCACAGCCUCAUCACUAGCAUCACGAGCAUCAUCACUAGCAUCACAACCUCAUCACUAGCAUCAGAGCCUCAUCGCAAGCAUCACAAGCAUCAUCACUAGCAUCAUGUCAAGCAUCUGAACAAGCCUCACGUCAAGCAUCUNNNNNNNNNNNNNNNNNNNNNNNNNNNNNNNNNNNNNNNNNNNNNNNNNNNNNNNNNNNNNNNNNNNNNNNNNNNNNNNNNNNNNNNNNNNNNNNNNNNNNNNNNNNNNNNNNNNNNNNNNNNNNNNNNNNNNNNNNNNNNNNNNNNNNNNNNNNNNNNNNNNNNNNNNNNNNNNNNNNNNNNNNNNNNNNNNNNNNNNNNNNNNNNNNNNNNNNNNNNNNNNNNNNNNNNNNNNNNNNNNNNNNNNNNNNNNNNNNNNNNNNNNNNNNNNNNNNNNNNNNNNNNNNNNNNNNNNNNNNNNNNNNNNNNNNNNNNNNNNAUCUCAAGCAUCUGAACAAGCCUCAUGUCAAGCAUCUGAACAAGCCUCAUCUCAAGCAACUGAACAAGCCUCAUCUCAAGCAUCUGAACAAGCCUCAUCUCACCUCAUCUCAAGCAUCUGAACAAGCCUCAUGUCAAGCAUCUGAACAAGCCUCAUCUCAAGCAUCUGAACAAGCCUCAUCUCAAGCAUCACAAGCAGCACAUGCCUCAUCACUGAACCCUCUCCAUUAGCCCUAAGUUGCGCAGGGCAUUUGCAUACACCUCUGGAGGGCAUGAUAAUCUUGGAGGUAGUUGUCCAAGCCCCUCAAGCCUUUCCUUGUUUACAUGGGGUAUUUUAUACCCAUUGCCCCCUGCAUGGAGGAUCUGAAUCAUGCACGUCUACAGAGUUAGGAAAAUUCUGUUGAGCUUGUAAACGUCAUAGCCUUAAAAUUCCUCCAAAACACCCUUAAUAAGGUCUUGUAGUGUUUUAGGACUCAGACAAUCUGUCAGGGAUUGGAGCGAGUUGAAAAACCCAAGGUCAAGCACAUUCAAAUCAGGACUGUUGGGAGGCUGUUGUAUUAUUCUGAUGUCAAGUCCAGUUUUUGCGACAGCUUCAAAAAAUUCCGGGUCAUCUGGCAAGAUAUGGGGCUUAGCAUUAUCCUGUUGAAUGUAGAUGGUCUGUCCAGCAUCACCUUUGGGCCAAACAGCUUGUAUUGCUGGCAAGACUUUCUCUAUUAGGAACUCCCUCAUCACUUUUCUGUCGACUUCUAUUGAUUCUGCCUCUAUUGUACCUCUGGGCUUAUUGUCGCUUCUCCUUUGAGGAGGAACUUCCUUCACGAAUGGCCAGAUAUCGAUUUUCCUAGAGAAGGUCACGUUUCCUUCACUGUCCCACCUCGGCCUAGCAACGGGCGUCAAGAACAUUACCUUGCCAAUACAGUUGCCAUGUAUAGGCCUCGUAGGCUCUUCCUGCCCAUCCAACAGAUAAUAUGUUUUAUUCUUCUUUGUCAUGUUAAACCACUUUUCGUCGAUAUGGACAACAUUAUGCAUAGUCUUGAACUUAGGCCUUGCAGUUGCUGUUGUUGCCUCAUCAAGCAUCGACAAACAAAAUUUCAUCCUAUCCUUUUUAUUCUGGUCCUUUAGAGCUGGCUUCACACAGUUUGUAUGCCUCCUUAUCAAGUUUAACAUGAACUUUCUAUGAAGUGUGGUAGGGCUACAUCCGAGUUGCCAGACAAGUGACCUAAUGGUAGACCUUUUGUUUAAUGGGAUCGUUAGGAUUUUUUCUAGGUUAAUGUCCUUAGGCUUUCUUCCAGAAUUUCCUUUUUUGAUUAGAAACAUCCACCUCUUUACCUUCGCUAAUUUGCUUCAUUGCUCUCCUCCAAAUUCUUUGUAUAUCCCAAACACCCACUCCAAAAAAAAUUGCAAUGUCUUGCUUAUCAGUUCCCAAAAAAGUGCCUCCUCUACUCAUACACAGUGUAUGCAUUGCUACAUAAGCAACAAAUUUUUGUUGGUCAUUGAGGGUUUUAUAUUUCCUAGCAACUUGCCCAACACCUGUACCAAGACAUACAACAGAGAAAUGAUUAAAUAAAAUGAUCAAGUGAUGACGUGAUGGAAUGAUCAAGUGAUGAAAUGAUCAACUGUAACUGUACCUGGAUUUUGAACAAUUUCAUCUCCUUCCAUUCCCUCUCCGGCAUCUCCUUCCAUAUCAUCUCCUACAUGUCCUUCCAUUUCAUUUUCUGCAUCUUCAUCCAUUUCAUCCACAUCUUCUGCAGGUGGAGUGAAGUUGAGGUCUGGGAGAUCCAUUUUCUCCUGAAGAUAUGAAUAUGUAAUAUGAAGUAGAAGUAGAAGUAGAAGUAGAAGUACAAGAAGAAGUACAUAUAAAUUCAGUCUGUUUACUGUCAAUUGCUGUCUGUUUACUGUCAAAGCAAGAGUUAGUUUCCUAGGUUAAUAGCCAUAAUUAGUUUUCUGUAUCUUAAUUAUCUCUAAACAUUUUGCCUGAAAACUGAAUGUACAAUGUUUCUGUAGAUAAUUUGAUCGAAAAGGGACGGCAUGCUGAGGUGUACAAAGGACAGCUUGCCGAUGGACAGUUUGUGGCAGUGAAGAGGUUAACAAAAAUACUUAACCAAGCAUGCUGAGGUGAGCAGAGUAGAGACUGUCUACAAUCAUGAUCUAGAGUAGCAUGGAGUAAAAUGUUUGCAAGAGUACAAUUACAGGCAUGAGUACAAUGAAUUAACCAAUUGUUGUCAGUUGAAACUUAAAGUUCAGACAUGAAGUAGUCUUAGAGACCCAUGUACUCCUUAUAUUCAUGUGUACAGUAAGAAGCAGAUAGUGCACUUUGCCAGCUGCUCUUUUCUUUGCUUUUACCCUAGGAUAACACACUAAGAUCAGUACUGUACAUUAUUUUGUUUGACAGGAGUACAUUAUCUACAUUAUUCUGUUUGAGGAGUACAGUAUAUGUGUAAUGCAUGAAGACCCUUAAGCCCUCUCUGACAGGAAGAUCUUUCAUUGGCACAAAAGGGGUACCAUGAGAAAAUAAAUAUUUGUUUAUUCAGCCCUCUUUUCUCUCUAUCUCUAGUUCUUCAGUUUUCUGUGUCUUUAGAAUUUUUGUUUUCAGUGUUUCUGUAGUCUAGUCUUCAGUUUUCAGUACCUUUCUACUCCUAAUAAUCAUUAGUGUUUUUAGUGCAGGAGUAUAAUUUUGUUUCAGUCAUUAGUGUUUUAGUUUUCAUUACCUAAUAAUCGGACCUUAGCUCGUUCUCUUUAAUCAGUACCCGUGCUAGUAUUUUCUUAGUAUGUGAGCUUGCAUCAUUGUUCAGUCACACUAAAUUUUGUCAAGUCUGCAUAGCUAGUUAUUCAGUUCUUGGUUUCUUUUUAGUUUUUCAAUUGUGAUCCUUCCUCACCUAAGUUCUUCACUUUGUGUCUUAGUUUGUGAGCUUCCAUCAUUGUUCUGUCUACUAGUCUAUCAGUCUAAGUCCCUAGUGCUUACUCACUCUGUCAUUUUCCAGUAAGUCCCUGCUCAUUUUAAGGUGUUCCUCAACUGAUUUUGCACUCAACUGUUUCAGUAUCAUUGUCUUUGGCGACGUUGAUCCUUCUUCACGUAUGCUGGUUGUUGCAUUUGAAUUCAGGUUAGUUUGCCAAAGGAAAGUUUCAGUCAUUCUUCCCUGUGAACAAGAGCAUGAUCGAUGCGAGUGUGAUUCGCUGUUUAUUCACGACAGUCGUUUUACAAUAGUUUGUGCAUCAUGCUCUUGUUCACGUGGUCAGGUUUUCUUGUAAUUUUGCUUGCUGUAGAUAUACUCCAAAGCAAAAGAAAUCUGAAGCUAAGCUAGCUAGCAACGGUGGUGACUGCUAUGCUUUUAGUCUGUUCUUUGUUGAGAAUUUUCAUGCAAUAUGCCUGUUUCAUCACAUGACAUUUGACUAUGAAUGAACUUAGGUAACGCCGUUGAAGUUGGUAUCUUGCUUGUUUCCAAGUCUUGCGGUUGUACAUGAUGGUUUCAUCAGAUGGAUGUGAACUGAAUGUAUGUCCAGUUUACACCGAUGUAACCUGAUUCUGAAGAAAAGAAUGCCACAUACAGAUGGCGUCGACCUUGGCCUCCUCGUCGAUCUGACUCUGCAUUAAGAAAACUUGUUGGCAUCAAGUGUCCCCCUUCCUCCACCGGUAGCCUUCCAUCGAAUUCACAUCAGAACACUUCAUUCAUUCACCCAGAAAAAAUAACUGACAUUGCCAACAUCUCACAAGAAAGAAGAGAGCAGAGUUGAAGUUGCCAGCCAGCCUGUUUACUUGCAGCUACACCAGUGUUCUUCUUCUUCUUCUUCGCAGAAUCAAUCGGGUUUACUUGCAGCCUUACUCACUUUGUGUCUUAGUUAAUCAAAUUCCUCAAUUGAGGAACACCUGGAAUUGUCAUUCCGGUCUUGGGAUCAAUAGUAGCAUAUGGACUUAUCAUUCUGGUUUUUGGAUGAUUUAGUUAAUCAAAUUGACAUCAAUUGACCUGUUUUUAAGAUCAAUUGCAGAUUCUCUUGAUUGGAGUGG